UUUGGUCACAUAUUUGUGAAUCUAGGGAAGCGAUAUCACUUUCAAGAUGCAGAACGAAGCGGGUGAAAUGAUGAAUCUUUAUAUCCUUAGAAAAUGUUCUGCUACGAACAGACUAAUCACUGCCAAGGAUCACGCAUCCGUCCAAA